GUGAGGUUAGUUAAAAAAUAACAUCAGCUUGUCAAGCCGAAAUAAUUCCAAAAAGAAUACCCCACU
rnacentral:tRNA from 1 species